GGGUGAAUGUAACACACUGGACCUGUGCAAAUUGCGAGGUUCGAGUGUUUGAUCUGUGUGUCGAGCUUUUUCAGACAUUUCGGAAGGUCGUAGACAGUAUUCCGACCUAUGGCUCGCUUCCCGAGAACCGUGGUUUUAAGCUGGUACCAAAAGACCAAAAAGAUUGGACCUUGGUGUAGCACACUGGACCUUUGCAAAUUGCGAGGUUCGAGUGUUCGAUGUGUAUUCCGAACUUUUCCACACUUGGUGGAGGGCCGUUGAUGGUAUACCGGCCUAAAAGUUCGAUCUCGAGAGUUUUGGCAGAGUCCUGAGAGUUUUUACUCUCGGGGACCGGUCCCUGAUAGGAGAGACCGGUCCCCCAGUGAACAGUGCUGCGCAGCCGGCGAGGCAACCGGUCCCUGGCAGUCGAGACCGGUCCCCGAGCGCAUCUGCGCGGGGAGAGACCGGUCCCGCGCAGGGAGAGACCGGUUCCCGAACGUUGGAUUUUCGGGGGCAGGCUGAGAGACCGGUCCCAGGUCGGGGAGACCGGUCCCUCUGGGCGAAAACUGCCUAGACCGGGCUGAUGUAAAUUUGAGUUUUUGAGGGGUCUAAGUGGAUUUUGUUACCUUAGAGGCUAUAGGCAGCCUCUCCUCCCCUCUCACUCUCAUUUUCUCUCCUACACACUCUUCCUACACUUCUAGAGAGAGAAAGGGAAGGAGAAGAAGAAGAAGGAGAGGAGAGGAGCUUGCUUGGAGGCCUUGGAGCACCAUCUUCUUCCUCAUUUCUCACCUUUGGAGGCUUGGAGCUUGCUUUUGGAGCUUUGUGGUGGAUCAAUCUUCAACCCUAGAAGAUUUUGAGCUUGGAUUGGAGCAUCCUAGAGGUAAGUGGCAAGGUUCCUUCCUCUAG
rnacentral:lncRNA from 1 species